rnacentral:rRNA from 1 species
GACGAACGCUGGCGGUAGGCCUAACACAUGCAAGUCGAACGGCAGCACAGGAGAGCUUGCUCUCUGGGUGGCGAGUGGCGGACGGGUGAGGAAUACAUCGGAAUCUACUCUGUCGUGGGGGAUAACGUAGGGAAACUUACGCUAAUACCGCAUACGACCUACGGGUGAAAGCAGGGGAUCUUCGGACCUUGCGCGAUUGAAUGAGCCGAUGUCGGAUCAGCUAGUUGGCGGGGUAAAGGCCCACCAAGGCGACGAUCCGUAGCUGGACUGAGAGGAUGAUCAGCCACACUGGAACUGAGACACGGUCCAGACUCCUACGGGAGGCAGCAGUGGGGAAUACUGGACAAUGGGUGCAAGCCUGAUCCAGCCAUACCGCGUGGGUGAAGAAGGCCUUCGGGUUGUAAAGCCCUUUUGUUGGGAAAGAAAUCCAGCUGGCUAAUACCCGGUUGGGAUGACGGUACCCAAAGAAUAAGCACCGGCUAACUUCGUGCCAGCAGCCGCGGUAA